AUUGAACGCUGGCGGCAGGCCUCACACAUGCCAGUCGAACGAGUGGCGGACGGGUGAGUAAUGUCUGGGAAACUCCCUGAGGGAGGGGGAUAACUACUGGAAACGUUAGCUAAUACCGCAUACACUCGGAUGUGCCCAAAUGGGAUUAGCUAGUAGGUGGGGUAAUGGGUCCACUAGGCGCAAAACCCUAGCUGUUCGGAGAGGAUGACCAGCCACACGUGAACUGAGACACGGUCCAGACUCCUACGGGAGGCAGCAGUGGGGAAUAUUGCACGAUGGGCGCAAGCCUGAUGCAGCCAUGCCGCGUCGAUUAAGAAGGCCAUGGGGUUUUAAAGUACUUUCAGCGAGGAGGCGUUACCCGCAGAAGAAGCACCGGAUAACUCCGUGCCAGCAGCCGCGGUAAUAC
rnacentral:rRNA from 1 species